ACGCUGGCGGCGUGCUUACACUGCAAGUCGAACGAACUUCGGGUUAGUGGCAGGACGGGUGAGUAACGCGUGAGAAUCUGCCCUCAGGAGGGGGACAACAGUUGGAAACGACUGCUAAUACCCCAUAUGCCGCGAGGUGAAAUGAAUUUCGCCUGAGGAUGAGCUCGCGUCUGAUUAGCUAGUUGGUGUAGGUAAUGGCUCACCAAGGCAUCGAUCAGUAGCUGGUCUGAGAGGAUGAUCAGCCACACUGGGACUGAGACACGGCCCAGACUCCUACGGGAGGCAGCAGUGGGGAAUUUUCCGCAAUGGGCGAAAGCCUGACGGAGCAACGCCGCGUGAGGGAUGAAGGCCUCUGGGCUGUAAACCUCUUUUAUCAAGGAAGAAGAUCUGACGGUACUUGAUGAAUAAGCAACGGCUAAUUCCGUGCCAGCAGCCGCGGUAAUACGGGAGUGCAAGCGUUAUCCGGAAUUAUUGGGCGUAAAGCGUCCGCAGGCGGCCCUUCAAGUCUGCUGUUAAAAAGUGGAGCUUAACUCCAUCAUGGCAGUGGAAACUGUUGGGCUUGAGUGUGGUAGGGGCAGAGGGAAUUCCCGG
rnacentral:rRNA from 1 species